rnacentral:rRNA from 1 species
GACGAACGCUGGCGGCGUGCUUAACACAUGCAAGUCGAGCGGUAAGGCCCUUUCGGGGGUACACGAGCGGCGAACGGGUGAGUAACACGUGGGUGACCUGCCCUCAGCUCUGGGAUAAGCCUGGGAAACCGGGUCUAAUACUGGAUAUGACUCCAUGACGCAUGUUGUGGGGUGGAAAGCCUUGUGCGGCUGAGGAUGGGCCCGCGGCCUAUCAGCUUGUUGGUGGGGUGANGGCCUACCAAGGCGACGACGGGUAGCCGGCCUGAGAGGGCGACCGGCCACACUGGGACUGAGACACGGCCCAGACUCCUACGGGAGGCAGCAGUGGGGAAUAUUGCGCAAUGGGCGUAAGCCUGACGCAGCGACGCCGCGUGGGGAUGAAGGCCUGG